rnacentral:misc_RNA from 1 species
AAGAGUAAAGGGUGGCAUGGUGGAAGAGCGAGAGAGAUAACAAAAAGAAAGUGGGGGAGGAUAAUUUUAGGGGAAUUUUUUUUAACAUAUUUGCCAUCUCUGUCUAGAGGCAUGUUAUUGAACUGGCUCGUAAAAACGCACUCAUUUUAUCUCGUGAAUUGUUUUGAGGCAGAUGAUCAAAUUAUGUUAUAUUUGUGGCUUUGAAAUUUGGAUAUGUUAUUCAUGUACCUGAAUUGUGAUCCGACCUGAAAGUUUUCGCGCUGCGACCCGAUUGAGAUAAAAAGUGAGAUUUGUGAUGGUAGUGGAGGACACAGGCCAACGCCCCCGCAGUGUGGACCAAUAUAAAUAUUGUAAUAUUUUACCCUUUGCGGCAGAGUUGCGAGAUAUUCAAAAAACACAUUGGGGUUAGGUUUUGAAAGUUCUGAUUGAUUGUAUCUUGCUUUUUUCAUCAUAGUGAAACUUUUCCUCUUGUCUUGCCCGUGGACAUAGACCUUACGGUCGACCCACGUUAAAUCAUGUGUUAUUCUUCUUAUUUUUUUCUAUAUUGUGUGAUUGUGCAAUUUUUGUGUUCAUUUUAGAUUUGCAUGCCUGCCAUAAUAGUAUCAUUAUGCUUUUUCUUUUCUUAAUGGGUGCUCCAUUGUGUUGUCUCAAGAACCGGGUCAAGAUGUAGAGGCCUUGGGAAAACAAGUGAAUGACGCUUUUGGAUCCUCAUGGAAAGAAGUUCUUAGUGAAGGGGAGCUUGUGGAAGGGAAAAUCCAUCCGGGUAGUCCGACUGUUCUUAUCAUUCGUACAUUUGCCUCGAGAGCUAUUGAAGUUAUGAGGUCUAGUAGUUUUUCAUUUUGUCUAAAUUGAAUUAUGUUAUAAAUAAUUGUUAUGAUUUUUAGAUUCAUAUGAACUUAACAAUGUUGUUGUAAUAUAGAACGCUUGCUUUUCUUCAUUUUCUAUAUGACCGUUUAGAAUAAAUGAUUAUGAUUCUCCAGAGGCUUGCCCUCAUUGACGAGAGAAUGGCAUACUGUCAAGCUAUUCUCAAAGCACAUGAAGGUUGAGGAACACGUAAUUUCUUGGUGCUUUCGGGCUUUUUAGUUUUUAAAUUUUGUCGUCUUGUAGCAAGAGACUUCUCCAUGGUUUGGCUCCUUUUUUUAAUUUUUUUUGUCUAAAAUAAGGUUUUGAACAUCUAAAUGCCUGUAUUCUUCAUGUAAUCUGAUUUUAAGGGCAGCAUAUGCACUAAUAAUUUUUAUUGACCAUUUCUGUUAAAUUUAAUUUUUCUGGGUUGAUCUUUCUGCUAUGAAUUGGGAAAUGAUGAGAAGUAACCACAAGUUAUCAAAGGCAUUAGCUGUGCUGAAUGUGUUUAUUUGCACGUCAGUCUGAUCCCAAUUCUUGCUGAUUAAGAUUCUACUUUUGUUCUAUGAUCUAACUUAGUUUAGUUAAGUCUCCAAUAUCUGCAGUGAGAUAGCUUAACCUAUUGCUUAUUGAGCCUGGUUAUCAUGCUAUACAGAUUAUCAAAGGGCUCUAGCUCUACUGCAUAGUUAGUUUUCAUGCCUAUGUGAUCCAAAAUAAAAUCUCGUCAUUUAUGUGCUAUUUUUUUGGCCAUAUGUCGCAACACUGGGUUUAUUAGUCCUUUUCAUUAUUGUCCCCCAGAUUUGACUAUCUUUUUUUAUAUCAAUUUAUUUUAUUCUCUUCGCUUUUAUACAAAAUUUGGGGCCUAGGGAAUGAUAUCCAAUUCACAAUCAGAUUUC